rnacentral:rRNA from 1 species
GACGAACGCUGGCGGCGCGCCUAACACAUGCAAGUCGAACGAGCGAGAGAGAGCUUGCUUUCUCAAGCGAGUGGCGAACGGGUGAGUAACGCGUGGAUAACCUGCCUCAUACAGGGGGAUAACAGUUAGAAAUGACUGCUAAUACCGCAUAAGCCCACAGCACCGCAUGGUGCAGCGGGAAAAGGAGCAAUUCGCUUCAGGAUGGCCUCGCGUCCAAUUAGGUAGAUGGUGAGGUAACGGCCCACCAUGCCGACGAUUGGUAGCCGGACUGAGAGGUUGAACGGCCACAUUGGGACUGAGACACGGCCCAG